rnacentral:rRNA from 1 species
AACACGAAGUGAGUGGCGAACGGGUGAGUAACACGUGGGUAACCUGCCCAGAAGUAGGGGAUAACACCUGGAAACAGAUGCUAAUACCGUAUAACAGAGAAAACCGCAUGGUUUUCUUUUAAAAGAUGGCUCUGCUAUCACUUCUGGAUGGACCCGCGGCGUAUUAGCUAGUUGGUGAGGUAAAGGCUCACCAAGGCAGUGAUACGUAGCCGACCUGAGAGGGUAAUCGGCCACAUUGGGACUGAGACACGGCCCAGACUCCUACGGGAGGCAGCAGUAGGGAAUCUUCCACAAUGGACGAAAGUCUGAUGGAGCAACGCCGCGUGAGUGAAGAAGGGUUUCGGCUCGUAAAGCUCUGUUGUUAAAGAAGAACGUGGGUAAGAGUAACUGUUUACCCAGUGACGGUAUUUAACCAGAAAGCCACGGCUAACUACGUGCCAGCAGCCGCGGUAAUACGUAGGUGGCAAGCGUUAUCCGGAUUUAUUGGGCGUAAAGCGAGCGCAGGCGGUCUUUUAAGUCUAAUGUGAAAGCCUUCGGCUCAACCGAAGAAGUGCAUUGGAAACUGGGAGACUUGAGUGCAGAAGAGGACAGUGGAACUCCAUGUGUAGCGGUGAAAUGCGUAGAUAUAUGGAAGAACACCAGUGGCGAAGGCGGCUGUCUGGUCUGCAACUGACGCUGAGGCUCGAA